CCUGGCUCAGGACGAACGCUGGCGGCGUGCUUAACACAUGCAAGUCGAACGAUGAACCUCCUUCGGGAGGGGAUUAGUGGCGAACGGGUGAGUAACACGUGGGCAAUCUGCCCUGCACUCUGGGACAAGCCCUGGAAACGGGGUCUAAUACCGGAUACUGACCCGCUUAGGCAUCCGCGCGGUUCGAAAGCUCCGGCGGUGCAGGAUGAGCCCGCGGCCUAUCAGCUUGUUGGUGAGGUAACGGCUCACCAAGGCGACGACGGGUAGCCGGCCUGAGAGGGCGACCGGCCACACUGGGACUGAGACACGGCCCAGACUCCUACGGGAGGCAGCAGUGGGGAAUAUUGCACAAUGGGCGAAAGCCUGAUGCAGCGACGCCGCGUGAGGGAUGACGGCCUUCGGGUUGUAAACCUCUUUCAGCAGGGAAGAAGCGAAAGUGACGGUACCUGCAGAAGAAGCGCCGGCUAACUACGUGCCAGCAGCCGCGUAA
rnacentral:rRNA from 1 species